CCGCAGGCCCCGCCCGCGGCGAGCGGGACUCGUGCAAAAGGGAACCAACAAACAUGGCAGCGAGAGAAAGAGUGUGAAAGGAUAUUCCAUGAGCAGAAGAUGGAGAUGAGCCAGCAGCCCAAGCUCUCUGCAGCUAUAGAGGUGCAGCUGUGUGUGUAGACCCAUCGAGGCAGGAAGAGAAAUGGUGCCCUGAGAAGGAAGACCUAGCCAGAAUGCAAAAUGUUGCUCCUGUUCUUGGGGAUUUCAGGGGGGUUGUGAUUCAGGGUCUGUGCGAAGGUUCCUGACUUCAUUUCAGCAGUAAAAUGACAGAAGAUGCUCACAUGUCCACAAGGAAAGUGUUAUCACGGAGAAAAACUGAGAGCAGUGAUUCAGGACAGGCUUCCCCUCUUCUUGGCAGCAUCCCCACAAGCCCACACCUGGAUACCACACUGCUAUCCAUGUGUGCCAUCCCCUCACCUUUGCUUAACCUGCCUCACAUGGCAAAGCUGGCUUGGACACCACAGGCACUGAUGUGCUGACCUGUGACCCUGAACCAUGUUUUCUGUGAGAGCAUCCUUGUGUCAAAAUCUGUGUGUGCCGUGCACUGGAUGUAGCGGUAGCAGCCCACACAGAAUUCUUUAAUGACCAUUGUAAAGAGAGUCAGCAAUUAGAUUGCUAUAAACUUCUCCUUGCCUGCCUGGCUUCCCGUCUGCCCUAACGUCACUUGCUGAGAUGUAAAUAGCCAGGAAGCUGAACGGCAAUUAUAUGGAAACAGAACAUGUCCAUAUUGUGUCAUCCUCACUCCCACACAAGGCCAUUAGUUAACAAGGAAGAACUGCCCAAAUUUAGGCUAUAUGGGUCAAAGAAACUGGUACAGCUCAAACCUCUUUGAAUUCCUGCAGGUGAAGUGGGUCAUCGUUUUGCAAGGAUUGCUAUUAAUCCAAUGGAAUUUAGCUAGGAAGAAAGGGAGGACAACAAGCUUGGUGUCUCUCAUUGGCUCGGCUUCAGGAAUGAGUGAAACUGGGUUUUAAUUGGUUGCCACUGGGGUAUCAUCAAGGUUUUCUCCAUUAAAAGUUGUCAGUCCCCUCCUGAGAGAAAUAAACAGGAUAUCAGCAUCAGUAGAACCCUGAUGAAUAAAACUUCAUUAUAAACUGUG